CAGUGUCACCAGUUUAACUAGCUGUGAUCCUGGGCAUGUCAGCUGCUCUCAGCAGAAUGGGCUGGGUGCUUAAAGACAUAAUAGGAAAGGGCCUCCUCAGAGCCAGGCACCUGACCCUUAGUGGCCCUUUCCCUUGCUGGUGUUGCUUGUGUCUGGCACUGCCAGACAGUUCCUGAGACUGUUAGGCCCUGCAGAGCUGACAAUGCUUUGUCAGGGCUCUGGGGAUGUCCCUAUUAGUUUGGAGAUACCCUUCCUUACUCUUGGGUAUACAGGCCUCAUGAUGCUCCCCACACUUUCUGCUCCUAGCUACAUCUCUCUUGGUGGUCCCGUCCUCUUUGCUCAAGCACCCGUGGACAAAAAGGGCGGGAAAGGCUGGUGUCUGGAAAGCAGCAGCCCAGAAGGGGAGAGAGCUACUGGAUCCCCACAGUAAGCACUCCCAUGAAUCCCCAGGAUGCCAUAUACCUCUAUAGUCAGGAGCCCUGUUCAAUGAUUGCUCCCACCCUUUUAUCAAUCUGUUGGCAUUUCUGUGUCCUACUAGGCAAAAGUAGGUAUAUCUCGUUUGCCCUUUGAGUUUCCUCUCGCCUGCUCUAAUCAGUGAGGUACUCCAAAGAGACCCGACUCUGAACAAGUUAGACACCUGUGUUUUCACCAGCAGAAAAGCGAAAGCUUCUUCCCUGACUCCUGAGCCAGAGAACAGUUCAAUGAACAGAACAGGACUGGGUGGACUAACAGCAGGAAACGAUGAGACUGCAGAGUUAAGAGUCUGUGUCCUCAAAAAGGAAAAAAAAAAAA
rnacentral:lncRNA from 1 species